GGCCCAAAUUUAAAUUAGAGUAGAUUAGUAUAGUCAGUCACGUGGUCCUACUAAUCUACUCUACUUCGAAUUUGGGCCA
rnacentral:pre_miRNA from 1 species